rnacentral:rRNA from 1 species
CCUACGGGAGGCAGCAGUGAGGAAUAUUGGUCAAUGGGCGAGAGCCUGAACCAGCCAAGUCGCGUGAAGGAGGACGGCCCUACGGGUUGUAAACCUCUUUUGCCAGGGAGCAAUUGACUCCACGUGUGGCCUUAGCGAGAGUACCCGGAGAAAAAGCAUCGGCUAACUCCGUGCCAGCAGCCGCGGUAAUACGGAGGAUGCGAGCGUUAUCCGGAUUUAUUGGGUUUAAAGGGUGCGUAGGCGGAACAUCAAGUCAGCGGUAAAAAUUCGGGGCUCAACCCCGUCGUGCCGUUGAAACUGAUGUUCUUGAGUGGGAGAGAAGUAUGCGGAAUGCGUGGUGUAGCGGUGAAAUGCAUAGAUAUCACGCAGAACUCCGAUUGCGAAGGCAGCAUGCCGGCGCCCGACUGACGCUGAAGCACGAAAGCGUGGGUAUCGAACAGGAUUAGAUACCCUGGUAGUC